UGUCAAAAAAGAUGGCAACUAAGUGUUCCCUUUUACGAAAAGCUUCCUGUAUAGCUUGUUCCAAUAGGAGAAGGUGAUCGGUGGUGGAUCGAUUUUUCCUAAAACCAGCCUGACACGGUACAUACAGGUUGUUUUUUUCAAGCACGUAAGGCUUAUUGGACGAUAGCUGGCAGGAUCUAAAGGAGUUUUUCCAGGUUUACGGACCGGUAUAACCACCGCCUCCUUCCAUUCAUCCGGGUGUGAGAUUAAUGAGCAUUUCAUUGGAGAUGCAAUCGCGCCCGGGUGCUGUUUUUUUUUUUGCAAUGUCGAAGCGCAAACUCCAUUUCUUUUAAUAUAAAUGGUGCAUUAUAUUCUAGGUGACGUGCUGUAGCAAAACAUAAAUCGGUUUCCCUUUCAUUUUUUUUUGUUCUGAAUUCUAUUUUAUGGUUAUGAAUUAGGACCUAAUGCGUCUGU